AGAGUUUGAUCCUGGCUCAGGACGAACGCUGGCGGCGUGCCUAAUACAUGCAAGUCGAGCGGACCCUUCGGGGUCAGCGGCGGACGGGUGAGUAACACGUGGGCAAUCUGCCUGUCAGAUCGGGAUAACGCUUGGAAACGAGUGCUAAUACCGGAUAGGCUCUUGGUUCGCAUGAUCCGAGAGGGAAAGAGGCUAUCGCC
rnacentral:rRNA from 1 species